GCCAUAGCUUAGUGGUAGAGCAUGCAAAAGGUCUCAGGUUCAAUCCCCAGCUUCUGCA
rnacentral:tRNA from 1 species